AAUCAGUCUACAUCGUGCUUUCAAAUUUCAAAAUUACUAUGAAAUGAUAUCUCGAUUUCAAGAUCUUUUUACUUAUUCGAUGAUUCUCAAUCUUUGUUUUUCUUCAUAGCUUGGAAAUCGCUAUGUGUGGUGAAGUUUCGGAGAAGUCGCCUAGGGCUUUUUGGGCUUUCCGGCGACUUGGUUAUCAGGCCUGGUCAUCAAUAUCAGGCAUCACAGAGCUUCAUAUUUUGUAUAAAAUCAAUAAUCCAGUAAACUGCAGCCAUGAUUCUAGGCGCUGGCAUUAAACUCAUCAGUUUUCAGUAUGUUUAUUCUUCAUUUCAAAAUUCAUAUCACCAUUACUGCUUUCAUUCAUAUGUAUUUGUAUCCUUCGAACGAUGGAGAAAUGUAAUUUCUGCCCUUCCAUAAUUUUCUUCUAUCAUUCUCUUUCAAGUCUACAAAAAUGCUUCAGCUAUGUUAAUGGAUAUCAAAUUCAAGUUCCAGUCUCUUUCCUGUCAGACUUUACUAUCGGAAGAAUGAAGGAUUCUCCAAUGGUAUAUCUUUUACAUAUCCUAGUUUAUAUACAACCUUUACUAUCUGCUUACACUUCUGAUCAUUGCUAUUUGUAAAAAUGAAGCUCAUGCCUUGGGAAUUGGUUUUGCUUUAAAAUCCAAUGUUACAUCUGACCAUUCAUCUACAUUGUCACACAAGAAAAGUUAAUUUUUUUUCCGGUUGCACUAUACCUUUCUUUAAUAAAAUCGGGCUUUAAAAAAAAUACAAUAAAAGUAGGCAAAAUGGAACCUGAUUUUUAAUACCUGUGUUUAUCAGUGUCUUAGCUACUUCAUGUGUUCCCCAUUUCUUCUUCACAGGCUGUUUUAAAUUUUAAAUUUGGUCGCAAUACUUAUGGGUAUCUUACGCCAUCAUAGAGAAGGCUGCGUUGUGUUGACCUGUCUGGUAUGAAUAUAAUGUA